rnacentral:RNase_P_RNA from 1 species
GCGGAUGGCCGGAUGACCGCGGGGGAUGGCCCGAAAGAGCCCCUCCGAGGAAAGUCCGGACUCCACGAAGCAACGGUGCCGGGUAACGCCCGGCGGGGGCAACCCCAGGGAAAGCGCCACAGAGAACAGACCGCCCCGGAGCUGAUCCGGGGUAAGGGUGAAACGGUGGGGUAAGAGCCCACCGCGGACCGGGCAACCGGGACGGCACGGCAAGCCCCACCGGGAGCAAUGCCGAAUAGGGACCACGCGCGGGCUCGCCCGCAGGCCGCUUCGGCCCAGUGGUCCGGGUAGGCAGCUUCAGCCCGUCGGUAACGGCAGGGCGAGAGGAAUGGUCAUCCAGGGGGUGCAAGCCCCCGGACAGAAUCCGGCUUACAGGCCAUCCGCGCAA